CUGAGUGUUCAGCUGAGUGUUCAGCUGAUGCAUGGCAACCCGAACUUUUUGCACUUGAACCAAAGUAAGACUGGCAGCGACUGGCAGCUAACAUACUUACGAAUUGUGCGCGUGUCAACUUGUAAGUGAGCUGUCAAGUUGGGGAGACUCAAAGUUGAUCAAGAAAUUCCUAUCAACUCAUCUGUUCGUCAAGUAACAAAAAGCUACAAUGAGUUAGCGACACAUUUCUUGCUUAGAGAAGUGCCCUGUCAUUAUGAUCGGCAACAUAAAGUUACCAAAAAGCGUGGAAAAGAUGCAAGUGACCAAGUCAAGAUCAGCUGUAGUUUUUUCUCCAGUUGGUGGGAAUGUUGGUGCCAGUUUUCUUGGUCAAUCACAAAGUGAAGUAAGGCAAAACCAAAUUAUGUCUCUUGCAUUACUUUUCAAACUUAUGGAAAAUUGCUCUUCUCUAAUGUUCUAAGAAAGUACUCAAAGUUCUACUAAAUGAAGCUGUACUAUGCCAGAUAUGCAAAACCACCUAAAAAGAACCAAUUAGCGGAUGUCAGUGGUAAAUAAAUAAAUGGAUAAAUAAAUGGAAACGUAUUCCUCAUCUAAUGCAGCAGCACAAUACCCUGAGAAAAGGGUCCAAUUAUCUCUAGACAGAUAUAAAUUAAUGUAAUUGUAGAAAUUUUGUUUGACAAAGUUAAUGCUAGAGACUGACCAACCAAGAUUGAUCUCAUUUUCCUGAGAGAUGCCUAAAGAAACUAUCUUCUUACUAAUUUGUCAAUGUGAGUUUGUUACGAAUUCAGGUAGGUUUAAAAUGCACGUUUAAGUAACCCUAGUUUGAAAUAACUGAAUUUGUUGUGGUCUUGAAACAAAUUUUCCCCACAACUAGAACUGGCAAGGUCAUACUCAAAAACACUUUUUUUCAUUUCACAACCUCUGUUAGUUGUCACAUUCCUCAUCAAUUGUUUUGAAACUCCCUACUUCAAUCAGCAAAGUAUAGCCCUCAAAGUGGUUCAUGGCAAUACAGCUUUCUUUGUUAUGCACCAAUAAUGGCCCAAAAAGAUAGUAAUGUCUAUGAUAUAGAUUCUCCAAAAGCCUAAUAUCUAAAGGGCAUAUAUUUCCUGUUAAUGCUGAAAUGAUUUAAAAUUGAAUAACUAGGGGAGAUCUCCUAAAAUAUGCUCAUGAUGUGAAGGUCACAUGUUCUUUUCAAUGUCUUAAAUGGCAUCAAACUGAAUAACUGUGGAAUUCCUAACAUGUUCUCAUGACCUGAAGGACAUGUAAAAUGUACUGUAUCUUAAAUGAUUUCAAACUGAAUAACUAAGUGGAAUUUUCUAACAUGUACCCAUGACCUGAAGGACACAUUUUUAAUUCUAUGCUAUGCCUUAAAUGACUUACCUUGACCUAUAAACUAGGGGUAUAUAUAGGCAUGUACUCAUGGUGAGAAGAAGAUUUAUUCCUUGUUGUUGUUGGUUGGAGGUUGGGGACUGCUAAACUUAAAGGUAAUCAUGCAUAACCUUGAUAGCUGUAUGUGGCACUUGUGAUAAGUUGAAUUGUACUUCAGUGAAAGGGGGCAAAUGGUUUACACUGUGUGUCAAGAGAAAUGUAAUUCACAGAGGUUGUUAAUAAAUAUUUUGAGAUGAUCUUUGAAAUAUGAUUAUUUUCUGAAGCUACUAAACUUGUGAUAUUAUCCUUUUUAAGAUUACAAAAUGAUCCAAAGCUCUCACAAGCAAGCUUCAUAUCACUUCUACCAUUUGCAAUGAUGGUAGACAAAGGAUGAGUGAUCCAUGAUGUUUGUUGUGUUGUGACUUAUCUCUUCAAGGAAGGUAAACUCUGGUCAAGGAUAAAGAGGAAUAAAAGGAAUGUUCAUCACUUCGGUCACUUACAACAUGCUGCUCACAAUGAAGAACAAACCAGGUUGUGUCUCUUUAACCCAAGCGGGAACGGACAGCACUAAAGUAGACUCUUGGGUCAGGAUUACUGAUCUGUUUCACUGUGAACUAUGGGUUGUUCCGCCAGGAGUUGGGUUGAUUUAUUCUGUACUGGAGCUAUUGGCUUAGAUUGAGUACUCUGAUUCACAUUGGCUAGUUCAAUCCUGUGGAUAGAUAGUAUAUUGGCCUCUUGUUAAAGCGGCUUCUUGUUAAAGAUGGCACAGUAAAGAUCUGCCUUCCAAGUCAAGUGGAGUGAGACUGUAAAUGUAGACAAAAAUGUUUUUUUAACCACCAUUGACUGAGUAAGAGACCUGUUUUAAAGAUUUUUUUAGUUGUGGCAUAGCCGCACUCUAAAUUAAUGGCCAAUUUUACAGAUGAAUUAUCUUUUAUGAGCACUUAUGUGCGAAAAAAAAACCAUUUGUAAUGGUCGUAAACAACGCAGAGAGAGAUAAAAUAAACCAUUUUAAUGUCAAAAACAAAGAACUGUUAGUGUAUGACCCUGUUAUGCCUUGCGGCGCAUUUACUCAGGAAAGUAACUCAGUAAAGUUGCAUUGUAAAAUUUUUCAGAUAAAAAUAAUCACUUUCAGGAACGGUUUGCUGAAAUAGUUUUCAACAGUUUCACAUAGACUAAACUGAGGAUUAUAUGUUUGGUGGAGGAAUUUUUCCAAUAAAUGUUUAGCGCGUAGCGUAACAAGGAAGCAGUAAACCAACCUCAAUCAUAUACGCAGUUCUCUUAAUUUUGCUUUGUUUUCUUAACCUCGAUACCUGAAAACCUUUCCCGCCAAAUUAAAAAAAUUAGAACCUCAAUCACUUUGCGAAAAACAUUGAUUCUA